CAGUGGCUCAAGCCUAUAAUCCCAGCACUUUGGGAGGCUGAGGCUGAGGCUGUUGGAUUGCUUGAGCUCAGGAAUUCGAGACCAGCCUGGACAACAUAAUGAAAACCCAUGUAUACAAAAAUUUAAAAAGAAAAGAAAAAUUUAGCCAGGUAUGGUGACAUGCACCUGUGGUCCAGCUACUUAGGAGCCUGAGGCAGGAGGAUCACCUGAGC
rnacentral:lncRNA from 10 species